rnacentral:tRNA from 1 species
UGGGAUAGCUCAGUCAGUAGAGCAUGAGACUCUUAAUCUCAGGGUCGUGGGUUUGAGCCCCACAUUGGGCAAAA